rnacentral:rRNA from 1 species
CCUACGGGGGGCAGCAGUGGGGAAUAUUGCACAAUGGGGGAAACCCUGAUGCAGCGACGCCGCGUGAGUGAAGAAGUAUCUCGGUACGUAAAGCUCUAUCAGCAGGGAAGAAAAUGACGGUACCUGACUAAGAAGCCCCGGCUAACUACGUGCCAGCAGCCGCGGUAAUACGUAGGGGGCAAGCGUUAUACGGAUUUACUGGGUGUAAAGGGAGCGUAGACGGCAGAACAAGUCUGGAGUGAAAUCCCGGGGCUUAACCCCGGAACUGCUUUGGAAACUGUGCGACUGGAGUGCAGGAGGGGUAAGCGGAAUUCCUAGGGUAGCGGUGAAAUGCGUAGAUAUUAGGAAGAACACCGGUGGCGAAGGCGGCUUACUGGACUGUAACUGACGUUGAGGCUCGAAAGCGUGGGGAGCAAACAGGAUUAGAUACCCGGGUAGUC